UGCAAGUCGAGCGGAUGAAGGGAGCUUGCUCCUGGAUUCAGCGGCGGACGGGUGAGUAAUGCCUAGGAAUCUGCCUGGUAGUGGGGGAUAACGUCCGGAAACGGGCGCUAAUACCGCAUACGUCCUGAGGGAGAAAGUGGGGGAUCUUCGGACCUCACGCUAUCAGAUGAGCCUAGGUCGGAUUAGCUAGUUGGUGGGGUAAAGGCCUACCAAGGCGACGAUCCGUAACUGGUCUGAGAGGAUGAUCAGUCACACUGGAACUGAGACACGGUCCAGACUCCUACGGGAGGCAGCAGUGGGGAAUAUUGGACAAUGGGCGAAAGCCUGAUCCAGCCAUGCCGCGUGUGUGAAGAAGGUCUUCGGAUUGUAAAGCACUUUAAGUUGGGAGGAAGGGCAGUAAGUUAAUACCUUGCUGUUUUGACGUUACCAACAGAAUAAGCACCGGCUAACUUCGUGCCAGCAGCCGCGGUAAUACGAAGGGUGCAAGCGUUAAUCGGAAUUACUGGGCGUAAAGCGCGCGUAGGUGGUUCAGCAAGUUGGAUGUGAAAUCCCCGGGCUCAACCUGGGAACUGCAUCCAAAACUACUGAGCUAGAGUACGGUAGAGGGUGGUGGAAUUUCCUGUGUAGCGGUGAAAUGCGUAGAUAUAGGAAGGAACAC
rnacentral:rRNA from 1 species